UUGAACGCUGGCGGCAUGCUUUACACAUGCAAGUCGAACGGUAACAGGGAGCUUGCUCCGCUGACGAGUGGCGAACGGGUGAGUAAUGCAUCGGAACGUACCCAGUCGUGGGGGAUAACGUAGCGAAAGUUACGCUAAUACCGCAUAUGCCCUACGGGGGAAAGGGGGGGAUCGCAAGACCUCUCGCUUUCGGAGUGGCCGAUAUCAGAUUAGCUAGUUGGUGGGGUAAAGGCCUACCAAGGCGACGAUCUGUAGCUGGUCUGAGAGGACGACCAGCCACACUGGGACUGAGACACGGCCCAGACUCCUACGGGAGGCAGCAGUGGGGAAUUUUGGACAAUGGGGGAAACCCUGAUCCAGCCAUGCCGCGUGAGUGAAGAAGGCCUUCGGGUUGUAAAGCUCUUUCAGCCGGAAAGAAAUCGCACUGGUUAAUACCUUGUGUGGAUGACGGUACCGGAAGAAGAAGCACCGGCUAACUACGU
rnacentral:rRNA from 1 species